CUCACUGGAACCAAGAAUAAAUAAAGACAUUUAUCAGAUGCAGGACAACCAUGUCUAGCUGACAGUAAUAUUAUUAUUCUGGUGGAGUACAACACUUUACCCAACAACAGAGAACUCACAGAACCUGAAUAAUAAUAAUAAUGAUGAUAUCCUUUACUCCUAUAGAGCUUUUCUAAACCACAGUUCUAAAAGUGCUUUACAGACAAUAUAAGAAGUAAACAACAUUAUUCACAGGGAAUGUAAAAAAAAAAGAAGCAUGAAGCAUAUAUAAAAUAUAAUAAAUAAAUACAUGCAGACAUACACAGAAAUACACAUAAAUAUACAUAAACAUACAAGUCAUCCACUGUUAAAUUAAUUACAGUUUGUACAGAUGAUUUCAAAGCUUUUUAAACUGAGGAACUGACGGCUGGUUGGAUGUUCAGCUGGAGUUCAUUUAAGAGUUUCAUUUCAAGACAAUGCAACAAAAAAAAAUUUACACUUUAAUAAUAAAAUAUUCUUUAAAGGACAAACUCUCUUAUUAAACUGGAUAAAUGGGAAACAGUUCUGCAGUGAUUCUGAGUUCAUGAUUUAUCAAAACUCAAACAAGACAAUGAAAAAGCUUCUUAAUGACACGACACACGCGUCUAUUAAUUUUAAUUAAUCCACCUCCUAAGAUGAAGAAACACUUCCAGAUGAAUCUAUACUCCAGCCUGAAUUCUGUUUGUCCCUUUAACUAAACAGCUGAUACAGAAGGUUUUAAGUUCCACCCACAAAACAUAAUGAGAUUCAUCAUUUAUUAAACUAAAGCAGCAUCAGCACGCUGUGGUUUCUGAUUCUGAUGGAAUAAUAAAUGAAGAUGAAUGUGACAAAUGAACUGAACCAGCAGUCUGCUUUAGUUAACCUCUAUUAGAUUCCACCAUCAGACCAGGAUGGGUUCCUCUGCAGUCACUUCACUUUCUAUGUAAACGUAGCUUCAGAGUUUCUACCUGGUGUAUCGGAGCUGUUCAUAUUUACUUAGAAAAGGGUCAGUUUGUCCUCCAUGAAACGUCCGGCUGAAGGAGAGACGGUAUUUAUGUUCUAGUCAUAAUGAAGGUUCUGCUGCUCGGCUCCUUGGAUCUCAGUUUGUGUUCUUUCCUGGUCUGUUCUGUCUUUUAAUCAACCUGUUUUAGCAGUGUGCAAACAUGCACUGAUUUAAGCAUCAGCUGAUUCUAGUUCUGAAUCUCUGCAGAAAUAAACUCACACUGGACGGAAGCCUCAGCACUGAGGCCGCUGACAUCUUCUGGUCCAAGAUGAUCUACAGUUUACAUCACUGCAGGGACACGACUCAGCACCUGGGUUCAUGUUCCUCAGAGUUCUGAAUGUUUAGGUCCUGGUGCAGUUUGAUGACCCACUCCUGAUACUCCUGCUUCUGGAUGCCAGUCACCUGCUUCAGCUCGCUGGCCCACUUGUUCUCCAGGACCUGUUGGAGGAGAUACUGAGGACCUUUAAUACGACAGAGAACAGUUUUUCAUCGGCAGGCUAGGACGGUCUGGAAACUUUAGGUGGAAAAAUGACCGACUGAAUGUUAGAAGGAGAAGUAUCUUUAGCUCUGCACUGGGAUCAGGGAACACCUGCUUUCUGAUAAAUAAUGUUUUUGAAACUCCA